ACGGGUAUUCUUGGGUAUAUAAUA
rnacentral:miRNA from 11 species